AAAAAAUUGAAUAAAUGGGGUUCUUUGAUAUACCAAAUCUAACUGUGUAUGUAGAUUCUUCAUUUUUGGUCCUGUUUUCAAAUUGGUCUACACUAAAGUCCAAAGGGUCCAAAAUUAAACUUAGUCUGAUUUUAACAAAAAUUGAAAUCUUGAAGUUCUUUGAUAUGCUGAAUUCAAAAAUGUACUUAGAUUUUUUAUUAUGGGCCCAGUUUUCAAGUUGGUCCAAAUCAGGAUCUAAAAUUAUUAUAUUAAGUAUUGUGCAAUAGCAAGUCUUUUCAAUUGCACAGUAUUGCGCAAUGGCAAGAAUAUCUAAUUGCACAAUAUUGUGAAAUAUCAAAAAAAAAAUUAAUUAGAGUUAUCUUUCUUUGUCCAGAAUAGUAAGCAAGAAAUAUCUAAUUGCAAAAUAU
rnacentral:lncRNA from 1 species